rnacentral:misc_RNA from 1 species
GGAUUUUGUAUCUUGUCCUUGAUGAUGAAUUGUGGUUUAUGAUGCUUGGGUUCUUUCAAUUUAAUAAUUAAAUCACAUCAAUAAGGUUUUCAAAACAUAAUGCAUGUUGUGGUUUUUGUCUUUUAAAUGGAAGCUGAUUUGAUCAUAUGGAGAUACUGAGAUGCAAGUCUAACUGUUUUUUGAUCAAUUCAAUCAUCUACACAUAUCUUGAUCUUU